UCUCUCCGCCCCAACCGCCUCCGCCCGUUGCACCUUCCCGCUGUCGCCCCCAUCACACCUUCAAGAACGCCCCCACCCAUCGCCUCCUCCUGCACAGCCUGGCCGCCCGGCGGGACGCCGCCUCCUAAUAGACCUACUGGCCGGCCAUCGAGGACGCCCACCCAUUACCUCGCCUCGGACGCCGGCCGUCGGGGAUGGCGCCUCCUGCAUCGCCUGGCCGGCCGGCGGGACGCCGCCUCCCACUACACCUUCUGGCCGGCCGUCGGGGACACCGCCCCUACUACAUCGCCCGGCCGACCGUCGGGGAGGCCGCCUCCUCCAACGCUGCCUCCCCACCAUCCAACGAUGCCGCCGCCCUUCACCGCGUCGGCCGCUGCCCUCACUCCGACGCUGCGAGCUGCGGCGCCAUCGCCCUUCACCGCGUCGCCCGCUGCCCUCACUCCGACGUUGCAAGCCGCCUAACCGGCCUGAUCCACUCGAUCUGGAUUGCCAACCCUCCAGACUUUCUUUGAUAUGGUUGGGAAGAAUGCAGACGGUUGGAUCACCGAAGAGGAGCUCAAAGAGUUGACAAAUGAGCUCGAAGAAUGUUGUCACGAGUCCUUACUCGGCACGGCCUCUACAAACAACUCACCAAGAUCCUCGAGUGCGUCGAGGAGUACACGGUGUUGAUCAUGGAGGAGCUCGACCCCAACCAGAACGGUUACAUCGAGGUCCGUCCUUUUUCAC